UGAUAGUGCAGCCCUAAGUGGGUGGUAAACUCCAUCUAAGGCUAAAUAUGACCACGAGACCGAUAGCGAACAAGUACCGUGAGGGAAAGUUGAAAAGCACUUUGAAGAGAGAGUUCAAGAGUACGUGAAACCGUUUAGGGGUAAACCUGAGAAACCCGAAAGGUCGAAGGGAGAAAUUCAUUCGCGUUUCGCAGUCGGCGUGAGGCGAUCGAGUGACGGAAUGCGUCUUCGGAUGUUUUCUGCACCUUUUGUUUUUCGAUCCGAUAGCGAACGCGUGCACUUUUCUCCUGGUAGGACGUCGCGAUCCGUUGGGUGUCGGUCUACGGCUCACGGUGGAGACCGGAUGUACGGCUUGCCGUCACGUCCGGACCCGUGUGUCCCGGCUGACUCGCUCGACGGUAUACGAAAGGUUUAAGGCCGCUCUCGCGAGCGUUCGGCUCGUCGCAAGCGCGUUAAAU
rnacentral:rRNA from 1 species